CUAUUGGGAAUCAAAAGGUCUGGGUUUAGACCUAGCUCUGUCACAACCUGGCUCUGUAACUUCAGGCAAGUCAUUUAACCUCUCCGGUAAAAACUGAAUUCG